AUUGAACGCUGGCGGCAGGCUUAACACAUGCAAGUCGAGCGCCCCGCAAGGGGAGCGGCAGACGGGUGAGUAACGCGUGGGAACGUACCCUUUGCUACGGAAUAGCUCCGGGAAACUGGAAUUAAUACCGUAUGUGCCCUACGGGGGAAAGAUUUAUCGGCAAAGGAUCGGCCCGCGUUGGAUUAGCUAGUUGGUGGGGUAAUGGCCUACCAAGGCGACGAUCCAUAGCUGGUCUGAGAGGACGAUCAGCCACAUUGGGACUGAGACACGGCCCAAACUCCUACGGGAGGCAGCAGUGGGGAAUAUUGGACAAUGGGCGCAAGCCUGAUCCAGCCAUGCCGCGUGAGUGAUGAAGGCCUUAGGGUUGUAAAGCUCUUUCACCGGAGAAGAUAAUGACGGUAUCCGGAGAAGAAGCCCCGGCUAACUUCGUGCCAGCAGCCGCGGUAAGAC
rnacentral:rRNA from 1 species